rnacentral:rRNA from 1 species
AACGAACGCUAGCGGCGUGCCUAACACAUGCAAGUCGUGCGAGAAAGUUCCUUCGGGAGCGAGUAAAGCGGCGCACGGGUGAGUAACACGUAGGUAACCUGCCCCCCAGUCUGGAGCAACUAGAGGAAACUCUAGCUAAUGCCGGAUGAGACCACGAUCCCUUCGGGGGUUGCGGCCAAAGAUGGCCUCUACUUGUAAGCUAUCGCUGAGGGAUGGGCCUGCGGGCCAUUAGCUUGUUGGUGAGGUAACGGCUCACCAAGGCUGUGAUGGCUAGCUGGUCUGAGAGGAUGAUCAGCCACACUGGGACUGAGACACGGCCCAGACUCCUACGGGAGGCAGCAGUGGGGAAUAUUGGACAAUGGGCGAAAGCCUGAUCCAGCAAUGCCGCGUGAGUGAUGAAGGCCUUAGGGUUGUAAAGCUCUUAUACCCGGGAUGAUAAUGACAGUACCGGGAGAAUAAGCUCCGGCUAACUCCGUGCCAGCAGCCGACGG